GCUCUGCGCCUCCUCUGGGCGCACUGCCUGGGAGCACGAGACUGGUUUGUCUGAUGCUGCUGCCGGAGCUGAGGUCUUGCCUGGAGAUCCGAACGAGACACCACGUCAACCGGCGCGGGGAGUCCCGUGAAGACAUGAGGGCGCCAGGAGCGCAGUUCGUAACUUCUGUCAUUGGAUGAGAAGAGAUAAGGACAACAGAGAAUCCCGUUCCCUGUCUAGCUUGGCAGCACUGCCCUUCUUGUUGAAAGCAUUGAUUUAUUUGCCUUCCCCAUCUGGCCUUCCAGGCUGAAGCACUGAACAUUUCUACUCCAUUUUUUUUUAAUGAAAUGAAAGCCCAGAGAUGUGAUGAUUUUUAAGAGUUGAACUGAGCUGCAAGCUUGUGGAUCAUGUAAGUGCUAACAGAGGCAGACGGAGAAGGAAGAUCUGUCAUGAAGUGCUACGGUGGGAGGUGCGUCAGCUUGGGGUGGAGGGGUCCCAGGUGGCCCCAGGAGAAGAGGCCUCUGAACAAAGAAGACAAUGCUUGGGUUACGGUGGAAGGGACACGGAAGGGUCUGGAAUGCUGGAAGGAGCCAAGAGCAGAUGCCAUCUUGGUGAUGUGUUUCAUCUUCAGGACCUGAGACCCAUCUGGUCAAAUAUUUGUGUGUAUAUGCAAAAUUUUAGGUCAUUUGUUAAAAGGAGCUCAUGAAUACAUGUCCUUGACUUCCCAGAGAUGGAAAAAACACUUCUCUCCGCCAAAGAACUUCCAAAUAGUGCUUCUAGCCUAUGCUCCUCAUCAGUGUCCAUGUCUCUCAGAUGUCUCUAGUUUUGGUUGAGGAAUGAGGAAAUGUGGUUGCCUCCUUUUAUUGGCUGAUUCGUCUGCUGAGCUCCUAACUUCUUAGCUAAUCUAGGUGAAACCAACCCUUGUCCUGGACCCUGGGCUUUUGUGGAGGACUGUCUUACUGUUCACAAAUACUCCGCCUUUUCCAUGAGAAGCUAAUUUAUCCCUGCCUGUUGAAAUUGGGCAUGGACAAUGACUUGCUUGGUUGUCUAAUAAAAUGUGAGCAGAAAGGAUAUGCGUCACUUCUGAGCCAAAAGUUUUCAGAGCCAGUGCAUGGUUGGCCAUGUUUUCUCUUGCCUUUGUAGGCACACAAUAAAUGUUUGUUGAAAAAAGAUGAAUAAAAGGAAAGAGCCCCAAUUAGGAGCUGGGUUAGCUGAGGCCUAUUCCCAGAGUUUCCACUAACUAGCUGUGGCAUAAUCAUUUGGCUACUCUACUGGCCAUAAAUGGUUCUUUGUUAUUUUGAAAUGGAGUCUCGCUCUGUCACCCAGGCUGGAAUGCAGUGGCAAAGCCUCUGCUCACUGCAACCUCCACCUCCUGGGUUCAAGCGAUUCUCCUGCCUCAGCCUCCCAAGUAGCUGGGAUUAUAGGUGCACACCGACACACCUGGCUAAUUUUUAUAUUUUUAGUAGAGACGGUGUUUCACCAUAUUGGCCAGGCUGGUCUUGAACUCCUGAUCUCAAGUGAUCUGUCAGCCUUGGGCUCCCAAAGUGCAUAAAUGGUUCUUAAGAUUUCUUUUUUUUUUUUUUUUUGAGAUGGGGGAGGGUCUUGCUAUGUUGCCCAGGCUAGUCUUGCACUGUUGGGUUCAGGCCAUACUCCUGCCUCAGCCUUGGAGUAGUUGGGAUUAUAGACGUGAGCCACCAUGCCCAGCUCAGGAUUCUUUCAUUUCUAAAACCCUGUGCAGAUAUUGCAGAAGUAAAGUGAUGAUUUUUGGAUGCUUAUUGGAAGUCUUGUUCAUGCUGGUGAAUGGGGAAAAGACUUUGGGUGGGGGUAGGGAGCACUGAUUGGCAAGUUAUUUUGUGUUUUUAAAACAAAAAUCGCUCUUCAGGGUGGUGCACUAUUCCCAGAUUUUCUCUGGAAGCUGUGUUCCAACACCUUUCUCAGACUUCCCCACACUCCCCCUCAGGACAUCAGAAGGAGGGCCCCCGAAUUCAUUCUUGCAGCAAAGAGCCUCAAGACUCUGCUCAGACCAGGAAAUGAGGGACCUGUUCCUACAAAUUGCUGUCAAAAUGUAUUCUUAAUAUUUGUUCUCUGGAGUCACUGUUUUGGUGACCUCAGUCCCUGGAGGCUCCUCCUGGGGGCGAUAGGAUGCCUUCAGAGGGGAGCUGACAGCCCUGUGUUGUGUCUGGGCUCGCGGGAGGCCAUCGCUGUGUCCAUUGGAGCCAGAUGUUUUCCCAGCCCUUAACCUGCUGUGGUUUCUUAGCUCAACGUCUCCAGUGCGACUCUCCCAUAACACCCAGCGCCAUCUUGUAGACGCGCUCAUGCUUCCGGACCGCGGGCGCCCCACCGGGAAGAGCGCUCCACGCUGAAGAGGAAGGAAACUUCACACUUAAUUCAUCAAAUUCAAACUGAGCUGUGGUGAAAGGAACGGGGCAGAGUGAAAGGAACACCCAUAUGCCCCAGAAGACCCCGGGGCAUCGCUGCCUUUCAGCUUCUUUUGCGCUUUCUGCAGCUCGUGUCACAUUCCAAGGACACUCAGCUCCGCACAUGCACAGAGGGCCGCGUCUGUCCCGGGGGCGUGUUACCUAAAACCAGGCGCUGACCUCCAGGUCAGGAACUCUUGAGUAUUUAAUCUCUCCGCCGUUCAUGGCUACCCGGGUGGCCUCUGAAAUAUUACUUAAUGUCUCUGGGUUCUGAUUUCCUCAAUUGUGUGGUACCCAGUGACCUUACGAUGACAUUUCACUACCUACGAAAAAUGGCGCCAUCUGAAUGUUUAGUCUUUACCUAGAAGUAUAAGAAGGGGUUUCUUGCCUGGGAAUGAUCCUGUGAAGCUGAGGUCACAGUUUAUCUUCUCAAUUAGGGCAGGGAUUAGUACAACAGAAGGUCAUUCGUCAAGAAAAAGGAAAGCUUCUCCCUUUCCAAAAAUGCAAGUAGUGAAACUUACAUUUCUCACUUUUCCCUGAUUGCUCAGAACUAAAUAUAAAAUUUAAUUGGCAAGUAUUUUAGCACUUAUUUUUAACAUAUUUUCUUUUGGUCAUAAUUUUUAAUUUUAUUAACCUUACUGAUUUGACAGGGUCAAAUCUAAAUAAAUAAUAAUAUUUUAUUUAUUAUACAAUACAUAAAUUUCUGCAUAGCUUGAAGGGACCUUGUGGAUUGUUAAAUCCAACUAUGUAGUUUACAGAUUAAGCAGUUAAAGUCUGCAGAGAAGGGACAGGACUAAAUGUCAUCAGCUUGUUAGUUCCAAAGCUGGGUGGGAAAAGCAGUUCUUCCUUCUGAUUCUUAGACCAAUAAUUCAUUCCUCCAUUCCAUAAUGACGAUUCUUAGAACGUGACCUUACCUGUAACAGUAGGGACAAAGCAAGACAAUUGUCUUUGAGUUUCAGGAACAGACUUUUUAGAAUUAAAUAGUUUCAGGUACAUGCUAUAGGGAAUUCAGUUGAUUUGUCCUGGUUAGAAAGCACUUUGUUCACACCUAUACAUAUGACUCUAGGUUAUGGGUUCUUCUGGAGUCUUCUGAACCUGCUGGGCAUUUCUGACUGGAUGAAAAUUAACAAAAGUCUAUGUUCAUCCUGAUGAAAAUUAGCAGCAGUUCAUCUUAGUUUAAUUGCCACAACGUGCAGCUAUGAGAGUAUGUAUAUUUUCAUUCACGUAUUUGAAAUAUUUAUGGAUUGUCUGUUAUAUGACUAGUACUAGGGGUUCUAUAAAUUUACCCAUAUAAUGUGUAUGUGUUAAAUAUAUAUUAUUAAUAUGGGUAAAUGUAAUAUGUUUAUAUAGGUAAAUGUAAUCUAUUUGGUAUGUAGAUACACAAAUUUAGAGUAUAUAACAGAUAUGUUUCUGUAUAGACAUA
ensembl:lncRNA GDNF-AS1 GDNF antisense RNA 1